rnacentral:rRNA from 1 species
GACGAACGCUGGCGGCAGGCGUAACACAUGCAAGUCGAACGAUAUCUUCGGAUCUAGUGGCAGACGGGUGAGGAACACGUGGGAACAUCCCUUUCAGUUCGGAAUAACGUUGGGAAACUAACGAUAAUACCGGAUACGUCCUUCGGGAGAAAGCUUUAUUGCGGAAAGAUUGGCCCGCGUCUGAUUAGCUAGUUGGUGAGGUAAUGGCUCACCAAGGCUACGAGCAGUAGCUGAUCGGAGAGGAUGAUCAGACACAUUGGGACUGAGACACGGCCCAAACUCCUACGGGAGGCAGCAUUGGGGAAUAUUGGACAAUUGGCGCAAGCCUGAUCCAGCCAUGCCGCGUGAGUGAUGACGGCCUUCGGGUUGUAAAGCUCUUUUGUCCGGGAAGAUAAUGACUGUACCGGAAGAAUAAGCCCCGGCAAACUUCGUGCCAGCAGCCGCCGUAACAC